rnacentral:rRNA from 1 species
GAUGAACGCUGGCGGCGUGCUUAACACAUGCAAGUCGAACGGACAGGCCCUGCUCUUGUGGGGUGCUCGUGAGGCGAGCGGGGGAGUAACACGCGAGUAAACUGCCCCUGACUUUGGGAUAACUUCAGGAAAAUGGGGAUAAUACCGGGGAGGAGCUCCUGCUGCAUGGUGGGGGUUGGAAAGAUUCGGCGGUUGUGGCUGGACUCGAGGCUUAUCAGCUUGUUGGUGGGGUAGUGGUGUACCAAGGCUUUGAGGGGUAGCCGGCCUGAGAGGGUGGCCGGCGACCAUAGUCCUGCGAGACGGCCCAGACUCCUACGGGAGGCAGUAGUCGGAAAUCUUGCGCAACGGGCGGAAGCCUGAUGCAGCAACGCUGCGUGCGUGAUGACGGCUUUCGGGUUGUAAACCGCUUUCGCCUGUGAUGAAGCGUGAGUGACGGUAAUGGGUAAAGAAGCACCGGCUAACUACGUG